rnacentral:lncRNA from 1 species
GACAAAAUUACUGCUCCGGAAUGGCAGCUUGAUCAGCGAAGUGAUGAGGUCACAAACACAUGGAGGCAUGGAAGCAAAAUGUUAAGCCAGCAUCCCAAAAAUAAUGGGACCUUGUAUGAGCAGCAAAGCUUCCCAAUAUAUGACAACCCACCUGACAUUGCGAUGCCUCCAAGCAUAUCAGGGAAGCGGAGCUGGAAAAUAGCCAGUUGACAAGAUGUCACUCCCCAACCUCGCCACUCAAACAACGUGCCGGUAGGCUUUUCUGGCAAUGAAAAGGCUAGCAGCGACUCCGGGCAAGACAUAAGGGGACCUUUGAAUCAUGGGUCAACAUGAAAGUGGACGAUAUUCAAGCAGUUUCUCAUUUGCUCUCAAUCUGACAAUGACAGCUCAACGAGGGCACUGCGCCUGAAUUGCCGAGUGUGAUCCUGCCACAUACGGAUGCAAAGACGAAAACGCCAGAGGAAAUAACUGUUUCAACUUUGACGUGACUUGCUGACCAAGUGACUUCCCUUCUACUUCUGAAAAAAAGAAUAAUCUUAAUUUAUACGACAAGGCCACGAAAGUAUGCAAGAGGGUGAUGCUGUGUGUGCCAAAGGAGGAAUACCGUGCUGCAAUAAUUAGAAAAUUAUGGGACGUGCCAGAAGAGAAGACAUUGUUAAGUGCGCAUUCACGAGAUCUGUGAGUGCAUGCGCGUGUGUGCGUGUGUGUUUGUGUUUAGGUGGGUGG